rnacentral:tRNA from 1 species
GCCCGGGUGGUGUAGUCCGGCCUAUCAUGCGGGCCUGUCGUGGAGAUGGGGUCCUUAAGCCCUAAAUCCGCGGAAAGCCCGCGACUCGGGUUCAAAUCCCGGCCCGGGCG